rnacentral:rRNA from 1 species
CUACGGAGGCAGCAGUGGGGAAUAUUGGACAAUGGGCGAAAGCCUGAUCCAGCCAUGCCGCGUGUGUGAAGAAGGCCUUCGGGUUGUAAAGCACUUUCAGUGGGGAAGAAAGCCUUGGGGCUAAUACCCUCGAGGAAGGACAUCACCCACAGAAGAAGCACCGGCUAACUCCGUGCCAGCAGCCGCGGUAAUACGGAGGGUGCGAGCGUUAAUCGGAAUUACUGGGCGUAAAGCGCGCGUAGGCGGUCUGAUAAGCCGGUUGUGAAAGCCCCGGGCUCAACCUGGGAACGGCAUCCGGAACUGUCAGGCUAGAGUGCAGGAGAGGAAGGUAGAAUUCCCGGUGUAGCAGUGAAAUGCGUAGAGAUCGGGAGGAAUACCAGUGGCGAAGGCGGCCUUCUGGACUGACACUGACGCUGAGGUGCGAAAGCGUGGGUAGCAAACAGGAUUAGAUACCCCAGUAGUC